rnacentral:misc_RNA from 1 species
CUGAUUUCUCCAUUUCCAUCAUUGAUCAAUUACAUGGUUUCACUUUGAAUGCGGGACACAUCUCUUCAGCAAAAACUGAGGAUGAUUACACGUUAAAAUGGUACAAUUCACAUACAUUGUCGCAUGGUAUUUCUGUUUCCUUUUCUCUUUUUUUCCCCUUAGAUCGAUCUCUGGAUAAUCUCUUUUAAGUGCAGUCCUCGUCCAACAUUAACAAAUGAAUAACUUACAAGCUGGGCAGGUGAUCUUCCACCUUCACUUCUAAACCAAGGUUGCAUCUCCAAAAAAAAAAAAAAAUCUUGAAAAUGGUGAACAAAAUAUGUCAGCUAUCAGCAGAAUUUGACAUGAAGGAUGGCUGGGGUAGUUGCGUCUGAGCUUCAGUUUGUGCCUGAUCCUGAUUUUGCUGCUCAACAAACCAGCUCAUACGCUCAAUCAAUUGUUGAGCCUUCCUCUUUCCCCGGUCUGUGCCAUUUUGAGCCAAAUCGACUAGAGGCCCCAUUACUCCAAGCUCUUGUGCUUCUGCCAAAUGUUUAUGGUCUCCAGCACAAAGGUGCACCAAAACUGCAGCUGCAUUCUCUCUGUUCCUUGGGGAUCCAUUCCCAAUAACUUCAACCAAAACUGACACUGCCUCUGCAGAUCCAAUGGCUGCCU